rnacentral:tRNA from 1 species
UGCCGAGUUGUGUAGUGGUAGCACAGCGGGCUUUGGACCCGUUUGCCCAGGUUCGAACCCUGGCUCGGCAGCCA